GGGCCGGUAGCCAAGCUGGUGAAGGCAGUCCGCUCAUAACGGACCGAUGCGCGGGUUCAAGUCCCGCCCGGCCCACCA
rnacentral:tRNA from 1 species